CAGAAAAUAGUUUAAAUAAAAUGUUAAUUUUGGAGAUUAAUGAUAAGAGGAUUCUUUUUUCUGA
rnacentral:tRNA from 1 species